rnacentral:lncRNA from 1 species
GAUUCUUGGCUCCAAGCCUGGUCCUGGCUGUUAGUUUGGAACUCACGCACCCAGAUGCUAACUCGCCCUCAGAAUGCAGAGGGGAUGAAACACUGACCGGACAAUUCAAUCUGUAUAUGGGUGAGUCCAGGGCUCAGUCUGCAUUGCGCGGAAAAUGAAGGUGAAGGUGGAGGUGGGACCUGAUGGUCUCGUCCCGGAUCGGGUUGAAGAAGGGGGAGAAAAGGAAUCAAAAUCGUGGGUGGGAUGAGAUUGUGCGCGAAUGCUCUCUGGGAGCGGAUCGUGGCCGACGAGGGCCCGAAGAUCCUGCCUUGUGAUCGCAGGAGAUGAACUGGAGGGGAAGACGAAUGGCAGGAGGGUGAAGAGAAAGCUGAAUUACUGUGCAAACACCCGCAACUCAAAUCCGGGUGGUUACUGCAGAGUGAAUAACGAUAGGUACUAUUUCGUGUAAGGCAAAGUCCUUUGAAAGGGCUCCUAGAGCGUCAAGGCCCCCACCUGAUGAAUGAAUGAGUCAGGCAGGCCCAGCUCCACUUCACUGAUGGGAAAACUGAGGUACGAGGAGGUGAGAUGAAUGGCUCGAGGCCUCGCUGAAAGAUUCGAGGCGGAGCGGAGAACCAGAAGCACCGCUUCUCUCAGGCUGAUGCUCUAAUCUCGGCUCCCCCCGCCCCGAC